UAGUGCCCGAGCACUCACCGGGAGUGGGUGGAGCACCUAUGGGUGGCGGCACUAUUCAGCCACUAUUCACUCACUAUUGCGCACUAUUGAGCUACUAUUCGGGGUCGCUUUCAGGGGAUACGAGCACGCGCGGGUGCGUGAUUAGGUAUAUUCCUUAAUUAAGUCUAUUCUCAGGAUCUUUGCGGGUUGGCAAGACCGAAGAUUCAGCCGGUCGUGCUGCUAUGCUUGUGACAGUCCUACUCGGUACUCACCGCAUGCCUCGCUGGCUCGCUUCAGAACCAGGCCAGCCCGGACUGCACCCUCACCGUCCCCAGCCAUGCUCAAACAGGACUCAGGCUCUACCGUCUUCCCAGGCAGUUCCACCCGAAGGGAACACUUCUCUACGCAGACAGGGUUCUCCUCAAACGCCGCUACCAGGGCUAACACGAGAACGACACACGCAGAGGUUUCUCCUCUAGGGUCCCUAGUGUAGAGACAUCGCCCCAUACGAACGAGCUUAAAGGAAGGCAGGGAUGCUGCCAGGACAGCUUAAUCCAUUUCCACGGGACAAGCUUACAUGCGUCUUUCCCUUUUGGGAAACCCCAAGCACUUAGCACAAACCUUGAUUACCUUACAAACCGAGGGACGAGCUCCAACGGCCUCCCUUUAUUCUAGUAGUGGUAGUACAGAGGUGGAGUAAUACAGCGGUAGUGGGUGAUUCUAAAGUAUGGUGGCUAAUUCUUUUUCUCUCAGAGAGUGGUGGUGGAGGUCUUCAUGAGUGGAGUAUGAGUGGAGGUCUUCGGUGGUGGAGUGUGUCUUCGUGAUUCUUGGUGAUGCUCUGGUGCUCUGGUGGUGAUCUAGUUGAUGUCGUUGAUGUCGUGCCUCCAAUGCUUCACCCGGUACCUCCUUUUAUAGUCGCGGUAGAGGCUUCUGGAGUUGCUUCAUGCUUAAGGCUUCUGGUGCCUUCAACUAUUCUCCUCUUCUGUUGCCUGGACACUUGGACGGCUUCCCGCUCCUCAAUAAUUGUCCUGGGUACAGUAGAGUUGCUGUUUAUUCCUUUUGCCUUGUCCUCUAUCGCGUACUGUCUUCUCGUGAUAUUCUGGAUGCUGCUUGGUAUGGUCUUCCACGCCCGAAUGAUUGACGUCGCAGACUUCAAUCAAAACAUCUUGGCAUGUAGUAUUAUUCUGCCCCGGCCGAAUUGUUGUUAACCCCUUAACAACAUUGGAGAGUUAUUCCCUUGUGUGACAAAUAUUCUUUUAUUCGAGCUGUAUUUCUAUUCUUCUUCUUUUUAUCGGGUUGCCUCUUUUCUUGGUUAUUCUUGGCUAUCUCCACGGAAAUCCAUCAUAUCAUCAUCAGAUAUGGGCACUUCCAUUUUCAAUUCAUAGUAUUUUUGCAUAUUUUUGAAUUUCUCAUCUAUUUCAAGCCUUAUUUCUUUCAUUAUUUCUUCUUUUAAAUUAUUCUUCCAUUGAGGAAAUACUGAUUCAAGUUUUUCUUUUAACUUAUUGUCAAUAUAUUCCUCAUUUGAUGAGUCUGCUUCUUUCUUCAGAAUUUCUUUAUAUGUUGGAGCCUUAGAUGAACCUUCUUCCUUUAUAUUUAUUCCAGAUGGGCUUGGCUUAAGCUCCUUUAUUUUUUUAUAUUUUUGAAUAUAUUCCUUAGCAGCAGGUUCUAAAAAGUAGUUUACUCCUAAUAUAUUUCUAGCAUAUGUAAGAGCUUGAUCAAUGUCAGUAUAUUUCUUCCAUAAUAUUCCUCCGUCUUUAUCUUUUUCUAUUUUUUGUGCUAUUACUUGCUCAAAUGAUACAUAAAUUCCAGGAUUCUUUCCUUUAUAUAUCACAUAUAUGGCCUUUUUCUCUAUAUUUUCGGGUGACUCCUUUGGUUGUAUUAACCCGUUGAUUGUAUGGAAAUAUUCAGCUAGGCUAUUUAAAAUAGCUAGCAUAUAUCCCUUAUCUUCUCGUUUAUUGUUGUACUGGUACCAAAAAUUGUCUAAAAUGCAUUCUUGUACUUCGUCUAGUACAAUAUGAUCCGUUGGUUUAAAUUUAUAUGUGUUUGGAGGAAAUAUUCUUAGCUUAUUCUCUGCUCCAAAGCAGAAAUAGUCAAUCCCUGUUGGACUCACUCCCUUCUUCAUUCCUGCAAAAUAGAUGAACGAGAAAAUAUAUCAGGAAGGGUAUUAUCCUUUCCCUUUAUAUGCUCAAAUAUUACUUUGUAUCCAUUCCCUGUAAUUAUAUCUUCAAAUAAAACCCAUCUUCUAGUUGAACUUUUCUUACUAUUAAUUUUAUUGUAGUAUCUACAUAUAGCUUCGCAAUCUGUUCGUACCGUGAACUCUUUAAAUCCUAGAUAUAAUCUGAAAGCAUUUAGCGCAUUAAUAACAGCUAAAAUUUCUCUAUCUGUAUUAUUUAUUGCCUUUAGUUUAUAUUUCCCUGAAGCAUACCUACAUAUUUUUUCUUCUGUUUUUGGGGAAUAUUUAUGAGGCUUUUGCUUUAAUAUAGCACCCCAUCCUAUUUCAGAUGUGUCUGUUUCUAUAAUAAAAUAAUAGUCAUCUAGAGGUAAAUCUAAAGGUUUUAAUUCUUUCACCUUUUCUUUUAUGAUUCUUACUAGCUUUAUAUCUUCAGAAUUAAAAUGUUUUUGCCCAUUUUUUCUUAAUUUUGCAUAUAAUGGCCCAGCUAGUUUUGCUAAGUUUUCUAUGUAAUUUCUAGCAUAAUUUACUAUACCUAAAAAUUGCUGCAGGGUUUUCUUAUCAUUCAUGAUAUCAGGAAAUUGCAAAAUUUUCUUUGCGAUAUGAUCUUGUAAAUAAAUUUUUCCCUCUCCUAUUUCAUGGCCUAAGAAAUUUAUCUUUUCUUUGCAUAUUUCCAUCUUCUUUUUAGAAAGUAUUAACCCAUGCUGCUCUACCUUUCUAAAGAACAUUUCCAGAUGAGCUAUAUGUUCUUUAUAAGAUUUUGAAAAAACUAAUAAAUCAUCUAUAUAAACUAAUAUGAAAUCUUGAUUUUCAUUAAAGAUAUUCUGCAUUUUUCUUUGAAACAAAGCAGGGGCAUUUUUUAGACCUAAUGGCAUUACCAACCAUUCAAAAUGACCUUGAGGACAUGUGAAGGCAGUCCAGCCUAUUGAUUCUUCUGCCAUUUUUACUUGCCAAAACCCAGCUUUUAAAUCAAAUUUUGAGAAAUAUUUGCUACCUUGUAUUCUAUUUAUCCAUUCUUGCUUAUUUGGGAUAUUAUAUCCGUCAUCUAUUGUAUUAUCAUUUAAUCUUUUAUAAUUAAUAACCAUUCUUGACUUUCCUCCGGCUAUUUCAGCAUGAUUUCUAACUAUAAAGGCUGCUGACCUAUGGGGACUUCUGCUUUCUCUUAUUGCUCCUAACUUAGGUGUCGCUUCUAUCGGACUAGUCUUAAUUAUAUAAUCAGGGUUUAUUAUAUUAAGCUUGCAAACUAUACCAUUCUUAUCCCAAUAUUUCAUUGGUAUUUCUCCUAUUAUUUGAAUUUCUUCUAACCUUUGUACUAUCUUAUCUAUGUCUUUUUUAGAUUUUAUAUCUCUAUACCAGUUUGGUGAUAGCGAUUGCAAACUAAUACACUCUAUGCAUGUAUUUGCUAUAUGGAAUUCUUCUAUACUUUCACCUAAUUCUUCAUCUAUAUUAUCAACAUACUUAUUAUCGUCAUAUUCUUGAGUUUCUAUUUUAGCUUUUCCUUCAUUAGAGCGUAUAGUUUUUCGUACUUCUGUUAUAUAUGGAAUAUUAUCUUGGUAUGGGAUGAAUGUAAUCCCUUGCUCAUGUAUAAUUGUUGUUUGUAAGGAAUACUGUAAAAACCUUAAUCCUAAUAUCAUAUCAUCAUUUAUCAUGGAUAAAUCUCUUAUUGUGAUCUCAUCCAUUAUAUAUUUUGUAUUGUUUAUUUGUAUCUCAAUAUUAUAAGCUAACUAGUUAUGAAGCUUUUUUAUUCCUGACAUAUCAGUGGAUAUUUCUGCUUUAUCUUGAUCUAUUGUAUGUACUAUCUCUGGGCAUCUUGCAAAAUAUUUAUCAUGUAUAAUAUUUUUUGUACAACCAGUAUCUACUAAUGCUAAUAUUUUAUAAGUGAUGGUAGGUGUUAAUUUUACCUUUACAGGUAUUCUUAUUCCUACAAUUUCUUUAAAUGGUAAUCUAACUAUGUACUUGCUGCCAAAAUUAAUUAUAGCAUCUUUUAAUUGUAUAGCCUUAUCAUUAUUUUUAUCAACUAUGGCUUGAUCUUUAAACUCAGUGUUGCCACUAGCAUUUCCUUCAAUCUUAUUAUUAUUAAAUUCUAUUUUACUUCUUAGAUCUUCUAACUCAGCUUCUAAGAUAUUUACUCUAUUUUCUAAAUUUCUAACUCUACUUGCUAAUAUUUUAUCUUCUGCUAUUAUUUCUAUUUCUUGUGUCCAUUUCUGAUUAGCAUUCCUUAAACAUGAAGCGCAUGCUUGUUUUAAACAUACACUACAUGUAAAUCUAUUAUCUUGACUAGGAUAAUAUAUGCGAAAAGCACAUUUGAUAUUAUAAUCACCUCUUCCUUUUAUCCAAUCAUGCUCACAAUCUCCUUGAUCCAUUAAUUCAGUUUUAUCUUCUUUCGAAUCACUUGUUUCUUCAUCUUUUAUUUCUAGCGCAUCCAUAGCAUUUUCUAUAUUAUGUAUUUCCUCUUCACCAAGAGAAUUUAUAAAAUCGUGGUGACUCUGCACAUUAUUUUCUUCUUCUUCUUCUUCAUAGCUUUCUAAAGGAUAGCUUUCAUUAAAUUUCUUUUGGACUUCUUCAUUAAUAGUGGAAUCUUUCACGAUAUUACUUUGCGGAACUUCUUUUGCUUUAUGGCUUCCAAGGUCUACUGGUUUCAACUCAGCUUUCUGCUCCUUUAUUAAUUGAGAUUUGAUCUUUUUGUCAUAAAGAUCUCUAUUCCUUUUUAACUUAUAUAACAUCCUAAUAAAAUAAACUUCUUUCUCCCUAAUAGCAGGCCAAUCACUCAACAUAGAUGUAUUAUAUUCAUGAGGUAUUUUAUUUAGCUUUUGUUCAUAGUAAUGAAUUUUGCUUACUAAACUUUCCAUUAAAAGUAAAAAUACUAACUUAAGGUUGUAACAGCUAAUUCAAAUAUCUUGACUAGAUAUAGAAAAACCCUCAAAAACACAAAUUUUUAACAACCUCGGCUCUGAUACCAGUUAAUCAAGAUCGAGGGCGAGGAAACGAGCGACUUCGAAAAAUUUCGGAUUUCAAAUUUCGAGUUACUAUUCACAACACUAUUCAAAUUCGGCGAACACUAUUCAAAUUCGCGGCACUAUUUAAAUUCAGCUCACUAUUCAAAUUCGGGAAUAUCAAUAGUGCCCGAGCACUCACCGGGAGUGGGUGGAGCACCUAUGGGUGGCGGCACUAUUCAGCCACUAUUCACUCACUAUUGCGCACUAUUGAGCUACUAUUCAGGGUCGCUUUCAGGGGAUACGAGCACGCGCGGGUGCGUGAUUAGGUAUAUUCCUUAAUUAAGUCUAUUCUCAGGAUCUUUGCGGGUUGGCGAGACCGAAGAUUCAGCCGGUCGUGCUGCUAUGCUUGUGACAGUCCUACUCGGUACUCACCGCAUGCCUCGCUGGCUCGCUUCAGAACCAGGCCAGCCCGGACUGCACCCUCACCGUCCCCAGCCACGCUCAAACAGGACUCAGGCUCUACC
rnacentral:lncRNA from 1 species